ACUGAGACAGAAGAGGAGGAAGAGAAAGAGGACAGAAAGUACAGGGGGAAGAAGGAAAAGGAACUGUCACCACAAAGAGAACCCCGGAGGUUUGAUUGGUUGAUUGAGGUUCAGAUAUUUGUAAAGUGAAACAGUCAUUGAAAGAUUUGAUUUGAUUAAAUUCAAUUCAAUGAAUUUUAUUUUGUAUAGCCCAAAAUUGCAAAUUACAAAUUUUCCUCAAGAGGGCUUUACAGUCUGUACACAUGCAACAUCCUCUGUCCUAGGAAGGGGCAGUAUACCAUUUCAACCGCUAUACAAGUACUAAGAUUUCCCUACGGUACGACAUGGUCACAUACUGGUCAUAUACCAGUGUUAACCCGUAACAAAUGACCUUGCUCUUCAGUAGGCAGAAACAUUUAUAUUUUCACCUCAUUGCUGAGUGCCCAGCAGUCAGAGCUACUUGUGUUACGUGUAUUGAGUUUGAGUCAUGCUCAUAACUUUAUAACAGCAAUUAAUAACACACAACAAAUGUUCUUUAACAGGGUAAAACACCACGACACAACAGCUUGUGACACACAAACAAUGUGAAACACUUGUAACCCAGGUUGAAACAUUGGUUUUGCCGUCCCCUGGCCCUCUUAAGAUGCGAUCUCACGCAACCCCAGUCACGUGACUGUGCUUGGCCAAUCGCGCAGUAGAGCACGAGUUUAAACCAGGCUGCAGCGUCUUCCUCAUUCAGAGGUGUGGGGAAGCUGAUCGGCAGCUGUGGACAGGUUUGUGUUCAACAAACAAUUCACUCUUGUGCUUGAUUUAUUCUUUGAGAUUAAAACAUAUCAUUGUAACUUUUAGAAUAACUUAGUGGCUGCAGGGAAUCGUCACCGUCAUCAGGUUGCCAUAUGUUUACAUAGAGGAACUGGUUUCUGUGGAUGGUAGUCACAUCUGAUGGUGGAACACUAGGUAUGUACCUGUUUUUACUUUUAUUUAAGAUCACACACCUGCUCAGUUUGCUUUGGAUCACCAGGAGCCUCCAAGGGACAGCUGGCACCAGAAAGGUGGAGAUUCUGAUGAUGUCAUGUUAUCCUCAUACUGUUACAUCAUUGCUGGAAUGAAUAUUUUACGGGCACUUCUUCUGUCUGGUGACCGUCAUCACGAGUGAAAACAACUUUCUGCAGAUUUUCACAACAAAAGCCUUCCAUAGAAGAUAACUGACUUUUAAUGCGAAAUAGCUGCAAGAGUGAGAUUCAACCUGUGUGUGCGUGUCAUGUGUACCUGUAUCUUGUUGCUACGCUGGGCCGGACCCCCCUCCAUUAGUCCCAGUACAUAGAGCCCCAUGUUGUACUCGCUGCCCCCGCGCAGGGAGAACCCGAACCCUGUGGGACCUCGUUCCAGAUCCACGUUGUAGAACCUGGACUCUUCCUGAGGGAUGGGCACACAAUACAAGUACUGCUGAUACUAGUGAGACUACUAGUGAGACUACUAUAAUGAAUACUGAUCCUUUCACCAGCCGGCCAGCGAUGUCCAGGUCUGCCCCCCUCAACAGAGAGGACGAGUCUGAGGAGAGAGGAUGUUCUCAAAUCAUGUAAUUCAUACUUCACUUAUCUUUCUAGAAAAUAGUUCCUAUUUUAAUAACAUUUUUACAAAUGCAUUAAUAUUCUCCGCUAAAAGUGUA